AAUACUUCUGGAACAUGGCCAUACAGCCCGGAAAACACACAACAACACUGUGAUUCCAGACAUGAAAGCCUUCAACGACAACAAUCUCACUGAAUGCCUCAUAUUAACCAAUAGAACUUCUAUUUAGGGCCGGGCUUUAGCACAGCAGGUUAACCACCAGCUGCAGUAAAUCUUGCCAGUCAAAAGGUUGGCAGUUCAAAGCAUGGGUCCGGGUGAAUUCCUGACCUUUAGCCCAGCUUUCGAACACCUAGCGAUUUGAAAGCAAAAUGUGAGUAGAUUAAUAGGUACUGCUUUAAAAAACAGAGGUAUUUUAAAGGCACCCAGAAAAAAAAUGCUGGCGGUUCAUCAAAAAGGAGGAAGUUUACGAACAGGGAGAUGGAGCAACGGCACACACAUCCCCCCGUGGCCGGAACUGAGCACAAGCCUCCAAGAUGCUGAAGAUUGGAAAAGCCUAUAUAUACGUCUAUUCUGUGUACAAUUGUCUGUGUAUAACAGCAUUAAAUGUAUGUGUGUGUUUGUAUAUAUAUAUGUUCUGUGAUCCACCCUGAGUCCCCUUCAGAGUGAGAAGGGCGGAAUAUAAAUACUGUAAAUAAAAUACAUACAUAAAUAAUUUUAGGAAUCUCUGUGUUGUCGAAGGCUUUCAUGGCCGGGAUCACAGGGUUGUUGUAUGUUUUCCGGGCAUAUUCUCUCCUGGAACAUGGCCAUGCAGCCCGGAAAACAUUCAACAACCCUUAAGGAUCUCUUCCCAGCCCAGCAUGGAGACUGACUUACAAGAAGUCUCAGUCAGUCCUCCUGUUUGCAGGUUCAACCAUUCAUUCGAACUCUGGCUGGCAGCUGCGAUGGAGGGACACAUCUCUUCCUCUUCUGAUUGGGCCUUUCUGAUGCUGAACAGCAUUCUGGAAAAUGUAGUUUAGGGCAAGGCCUUUUGCAUUCUCUGCCAUAGGGCUCCACACCUUCCCAAACUACAUUUCCCAGAGUUCUGCGCUCUCUCUGUCUCUUUCCCAGCAAACUCUGCUUUCUCCCUGCUGCUUUCCUCUCCUUGUGGCAAGAGGCUAUUCAUUUAAAAAGGAAAAUAAAGCUGGCUUUGGGAGGCUUCUGAGGUUUACAAAAUUCAAACGAAAAAGUAUCGGAACCUCCAGGGAAGGAGACGCUGCCAAAGGGAAAUGUUCAGGAGCACCCGGUAUCGUGGGUCCACUCACCAUUUUGCGGCGCUCUUCUAGGACUUGGGCCACAAUGGCCACAGCCUCCUUGUUUGUCUGGCAGCAGUAGAAGCCAUCUUCAAGCGUGUAGCGAGCGUGUACAGUGCACUCCACGGCCCGGUGUUGCGCCUGCCUCGUGGUGUCCACAAAAGAGGUGCUCUCCUUCGGUUUGUGGUGCAGCAUCACCAAGAUCGCCUCCGGCUCACCUGGAACGAGAAACACGACAGAAGCCGUGGAGAAACUGGCAGGAAAACAGCUUCCCAGUCUCUGUUUCAGACCUCCAGGGAAGGAGAUUCCACUAGACACUAAGAUUCAGGCAGAAUCUCUUUUUGUUGGAAAAAUGUCAUCCUGUACUGCUUAAGUCUCUAUGGUUAGAUAGGAAGCCUAGUGUUAGGGACACCUUCCCCAGUUCCAUGCAUGCUCUGGUUAGGCUUUACUAUUGUUUCCUCCCUCAUGUCCUAUUUAGGUCAACCCCACCCUUUGAUGCUUUAGAAAUGUGAUCUCUCCUAGGGCUUUGACGUAACUUCCCAAUUUGGCCUUUGGAAUGUUUAGGGCCCUAGAGAAAAAGCGACCCACGAGGCUUGGUCGCCAUUCCAUCUUCCUGCUUUGUUCCAGAGAGGACGCAUUUUGUCCCCUCUUCUAGUCAAGAUGUAGCUAUCUAGACCUUUGUUAUUUUAAUCCGUCUAUGUGUAUUAGAUCAGGAUAGAUUAGUUAUUUAGCUACAAACCUUUUCUAUCCAUCAAUGGAUUUCUUUUUACCUCAAUAAAUGCUUUUAAACUUUAAA